GUGAAUCAUCGAAUCUUUGAACGCACAUUGCGCCCGCCAGUAUUCUGGCGGGCAUGCCUGUUCGAGCGUCAUUUCAACCAUCAAGCCCUGCUUGUGUUGGGGUCCUGCGGCUGCCCGCAGGCCCUGAAAACCAGUGGCGGGCUCGCUAGUCACACCGAGCGCAGUAAUACAUCUCGCUUAGGUCGUGCGGCGGGUUCUUGCCGUUAAACACCCCCCUUACCAAAGGUUGACCUCGGAUCAGGUAGGAAUACCCGCUGAACUUAAGCAUAUCAAUAAGCGGAGGA
rnacentral:misc_RNA from 1 species